GAUGAACGCUGGCGGCGUGCUUAACACAUGCAAGUCGAACGGGAAUUACUUUAUUGAAACUUCGGUCGAUUUAAUUUAAUUCUAGUGGCGGACGGGUGAGUAACGCGUGGGUAACCUGCCUUAUACAGGGGGAUAACAGUCAGAAAUGGCUGCUAAUACCGCAUAAGCGCACAGAGCUGCAUGGCUCAGUGUGAAAAACUCCGGUGGUAUAAGAUGGACCCGCGUUGGAUUAGCUAGUUGGUGGGGUAACGGCCCACCAAGGCGACGAUCCAUAGCCGGCCUGAGAGGGUGAACGGCCACAUUGGGACUGAGACACGGCCCAGACUCCUACGGGAGGCAGCAGUGGGGAAUAUUGCACAAUGGGGGAAACCCUGAUGCAGCGACGCCGCGUGAAGGAAGAAGUAUCUCGGUAUGUAAACUUCUAUCAGCAGGGAAGAUAGUGACGGUACCUGACUAAGAAGCCCCGGCUA
rnacentral:rRNA from 1 species